GGUUCGGUAGCUUAGUUGGUAAAGCGCUCGUUUAGCAUACAAGAGACUUGGGUUUGAAUCCCAGCCGAGCAU
rnacentral:tRNA from 1 species